CAGCGUGCUGCCCAGCGGUUUAAUCAGCACGCGGUUAUGAUGCAGGUUGACGUCGCCGCUGGCUUUCACCUGUUCGCCAUCAAACGGGAUAUCCAGAUGUAAGCGACUGCUUACUUCGCCGGUCACCUUCAGCUGUUCCAGCGCGCUGCCAAUGGUUUUCUUUAACGUCGAGUGGUUGAAAAAGUCACGAACCUGCUCACCGCAACCGCUGACAUCACCAUCAAUAACAAUCCGCUCCUUCAUAUAAUCCGGGAUCACCGCCUGGAUAUUGCGUCCGCUGACCUCACCCAGCCGGGUUUUCGUUGCAUCCAUCCACAGCCCGUUAUUGAUAAAGUUGAGGUCAACGUCCAGAUCGGUCAGGGGCAACCAGUCGGGCUGGAAAGCAAAGGUCGCAUUCCUGGCUGGUAC
rnacentral:ncRNA from 1 species